rnacentral:rRNA from 1 species
UACAGAGGGUGCGAGCGUUAAUCGGAAUUACUGGGCGUAAAGCGUGCGUAGACGGUAUUCAGAUCGGGUGUGAAAGCCCCCGGGCUCAACCUGGGAAUUGCAUUCGAGACUGAAUAGCUAGGGUACGGUAGAGGGAAGCUGGAAUUUCCGGUGUAGCGGUGAAAUGCGUAGAUAUCGGAAGGAACAUCAGUGGCGAAAGCGGCUUCCUGGACCAGUACCGACGUUCAGGCACGAAAGCGUGGGGAGCAAACAGG